CGCGCGAUACAGGGUGACAGCCCCGUACACAAAAGCGCAUGUGUUGUGAGCUCGAUGAGUAGGGCGGGACACGUGGUAUCCUGUCUGAAUAUGGGGGGACCAUCCUCCAAGGCUAAAUACUCCUGACUGACCGAUAGUGAACCAGUACCGUGAGGGAAAGGCGAAAAGAACCCCGGCGAGGGGAGUGAAAAAGAACCUGAAACCGUGUACGUACAAGCAGUGGGAGCCCCACCACCAAAGCAUUCUCUGGUGUUGAAGGCCCUGCAAAGCAGCAUCGCGGUGGCGGAGCGUCGUUUGCGACGCCCAACACAAAAAACAAGCGGUGAGUGCUUUGGGGUGGGGUGACUGCGUACCUUUUGUAUAAUGGGUCAGCGACUUAUAUUCUGUAGCAAGGUUAACCGAAUAGGGGAGCCGUAGGGAAACCGAGUCUUAAC
rnacentral:rRNA from 1 species